UACGUAGGAUGCGAGCGUUAUCCGGAUUUAUUGGGUUUAAAGGGUGCGUAGGCGGACUGUCAAGUCAGCGGUAAAAUUGAGAGGCUCAACCUCUUCCCGCCGUUGAAACUGGUGGUCUUGAGUGGAUGAGAAGUACGCGGAAUGCGUGGUGUAGCGUUGAAAUGCAUAGAUAUCACGCAGAACUCCGAUUGCGAAGGCAGCGUACCGGCAUCCAACUGACGCUGAGGCACGAAAGCGUGGGGAUCAAACAGG
rnacentral:rRNA from 1 species